CUCACUCUCCGGCUGCGGCCGCUCGGCUUCUCCCAGAGACCCGGCGGCGGCGGGCGGCAUCCCAGGGAGAUAGGCAGGAGCAGCGGAGAGCCGAGCGCCCGGCCGCAUGGACAAGCGGUGGCGGCCGGAGCAAAGCCUCCGCUAGCCCAAAGCAAUCGCCCGCCGAGCUAUCCACAUGCAUCCAGGCUGCUGCUGCCUUGAGAAGGGGAAAGGUUCGGGGACGGGACACACCAGCUGCAGGGGUCCUGGGGUUACACCACAGGUAGCAGCUCAGCGCCCGCUUGGCUCCAGUGAGGUGCAAGUUAGAGAAAGACUUGACUUGAAGUCUGAGAACUGAGUAAUCACGGAAGAUCCAGGUCCUCUUUGAGUGAAAAGGUCUCCAAGGAGUCUGCAGAUAUGAAUUAAGCCUCACAACUCAUUCUGUCAAACAGGAUCAUUAUUACCCCGCCAUUUUACAAAUGAGAAAGCUGUGAUUUACCUAUGGUCACGUGGCAAUACAGUGACACAGGGAGAAAUCAGCAGUUUGGACUCCAGGCCCCUUCCUUGAUGCACCACAUACACAUGCUCUCCUUCUUACACAGUGAUUUAUCUUUAGGGAUCUGCCAGCACUAUGAUGAUAACUCAGGUCAUUCCCAGACACGGCAGACCAGGAGCCAGAGGGCCUAUGAUUAAGGCUAUGUUUUAGUCACGGGUAUUUUUAGUAAAAGUCAUGAACAGGUCAUGGGCAGUAAACAAAAAUUCACGGCCUGUGACCUGUCCAUAUAUGUGACUUGUACUAUAUACCCCUAACUAAAUUUUUUCGCGGGGGAGGGUUUGCUGUGGGUGCUCAUGGGGGGCAGCCAGGGGGUGC